rnacentral:rRNA from 1 species
GAUGAACGCUGGCGGCGUGCCUAAUACAUGCAAGUCGAGCGAACAGACGAGGAGCUUGCUCCUCCGACGUUAGCGGCGGACGGGUGAGUAACACGUGGAUAACCUACCUAUAAGACUGGGAUAACUUCGGGAAACCGGAGCUAAUACCGGAUAAUAUAUUGAACCGCAUGGUUCAAUAGUGAAAGACGGUUUUGCUGUCACUUAUAGAUGGAUCCGCGCCGCAUUAGCUAGUUGGUAAGGUAACGGCUUACCAAGGCAACGAUGCGUAGCCGACCUGAGAGGGUGAUCAGCCACACUGGAACUGAGACACGGUCCAGACUCCUACGGGAGGCAGCAGUAGGGAAUCUUCCGCAAUGGGCGAAAGCCUGACGGAGCAACGCCGCGUGAGUGAUGAAGGUCUUCGGAUCGUAAAACUCUGUUAUUAGGGAAGAACAAAUGUGUAAGUAACUAUGCACGUCUUGACGGUACCUAAUCAGAAAGCCACGGCUAACUACGUG